rnacentral:rRNA from 1 species
CAUUUGCAGCAGCAACUGCUCUUCUACACUUUCUGCAGCUGCCAUUCUUGUUUAAUCAGGAGCAUGGAGGGGAGAGAGAGCUUCUUCUAACCCCCGUCCAUCCAUUCACAGCUACCUGCUGUCACAUUCCACUUUGCCUUCUCUGAAUCCACAAUCAUAUACUGAAUUUAGUAGCAAAAAUUCCACCCUGGUAAAUGUUUCAGAGUUAUGGAUCACCUCCAUCUGUUCUUUUCUGCAAUCACACAGCGAUUUUAUAUAGUGCUACUGCUCCAUCCAUAUGUGCUGCUGAACUGCACCUUCUUGCAGGUGACAGGAGCAGAGCGGGAUGCGCCACCUGGAGUUCCAGAGGAUGCGCGUGACGCUGGCCAUCGGCGUGGUCGGCCUGUGCGCCACGGCGUACAUCCUCGGCGCCUGGCAAGGCACCUCGUCCGCCAUAAAGGACGCCCCUCGACCUGUGUACGCCAAGACGCAGUGCGACGACGCCCCCUCCCGUGCCCCCAGCAAUGCUUCAGGCACCACCAGGGUCGCGUCGGUGGCAUCCUCAGGUGCCCGUCUUGAUUUCCAGGCACACCACCGUGUGGCCUUGAACGAGUCGUCGCUGGCGACGGAGAUGAUCCCGCCAUGCCAGCUCAAGUACAGCGAGUACACGCCCUGCCAUGACCCGAGGAGAGCGAGGAAGUUUCCAAAGGCGAUGAUGCAGUACAGGGAGAGGCACUGCCCCACAAAAGAUAAAUUGUUCCGGUGCCUGAUCCCUGCACCCCCGAACUAUAAGAACCCCUUCACGUGGCCGCAGAGUCGGGACUACGCCUGGUAUGACAACAUCCCUCACCGGGAGCUGAGUAUCGAGAAGGCUGUCCAGAACUGGAUUCAGGUUGAGGGGGACCGGUUUAGGUUCCCUGGUGGUGGGACGAUGUUCCCGCAUGGUGCUGAUGCUUAUAUCGAUGAUAUCAAUGCGCUCAUACCGUUAACUGACGGAAACAUCAGAACUGCACUUGAUACUGGAUGUGGGGUGGCAAGUUGGGGUGCUUUUCUUCUGAAGAGGGGCAUCAUCACCAUGUCAUUUGCACCAAGGGAUUCGCACGAGGCACAGGUACAGUUUGCGUUAGAGAGGGGAGUGCCGGCUAUGAUUGGAGUGAUGGCAACCGAUAGAAUCCCAUACCCUGCUAGAGCAUUCGACAUGGCGCACUGCUCUAGAUGUUUGAUCCCAUGGAACAAGCUCGACGGUUUAUAUCUGGUUGAAGUGGACAGAGUUCUAAGACCAGGAGGCUACUGGAUCCUCUCUGGGCCUCCAAUCCGUUGGAAGAAGCACUACAAGGGGUGGCAAAGAACAGAGGAAGACCUGAAGCAAGAGCAAGAUGAGAUUGAGGACCUAGCAAAGCGGCUCUGCUGGAAGAAAGUAGUAGAGAAAGAUGAUCUUGCUGUAUGGCAGAAGCCUAUCAACCACAUGGAGUGUGCUAAUAAUCGGAAUGCCGACGAAGCUCUGCAGUUCUGCAACAACAGCGAUGUGGACUCUGCUUGGUACAAGAAGAUGGAGACGUGCAUAUCUCCUCUGCCGGAAGUGCAAACCGAGGAAGAAGUUGCUGGCGGAGCUCUCGAGAACUGGCCACAAAGAGCAUCCGCAGUUCCGCCGAGAAUAACCCGAGGUUCAGUUUCAGGCAUCACCCCUGAGAAGUUCGAAGAGGACAAUAAGUUGUGGGCAGAGCGAGCGGACCACUACAAGAAACUGAUCCCGCCACUGGCCAAGGGGCGAUACAGGAACGUGAUGGACAUGGAUGCAGGGAUGGGGGGUUUUGCUGCUGCGCUGAUGGAGUAUCCGCUCUGGGUGAUGAAUGUGGUGCCUUCAGGUUCUGCUCCUGAUGCCCUCGGUGUUAUCUACGAGCGGGGGUUUAUCGGGACAUUCCAUGACUGGUGCGAGGCUUUCUCGACGUAUCCCAGGACGUAUGACCUCAUCCACGCUAACAAAGUGUUCAGCUUUUAUCAUGACAGGUGUGACAUAACAUACAUCCUCCUGGAGAUGGACCGGAUUCUGCGGCCUGAAGGGACGGUGAUCUUCAGGGACACCGUGGAGAUGUUAGUGAAGAUACAAGCCAUCACCAAUGGCAUGAGAUGGAAGAGCCAGAUCAUGGAUCAUGAAUCCGGGCCGUUCAACCCUGAGAAGAUCCUUGUGGCCGUCAAAACUUACUGGACCGCGGAGCCUGCCCAAAAGCAGCAAUAGCUAUCGCCUUCCUCAGUGUUGUUCUAUGUCGUCUGCUGCGAAAGUUCAAACAGAAAACCUUUCUGUUGAGUCUUCAUCGACUGUUCUCUUAGCUUCAGGAUAUAUCUGUAUAUAGUAGGUGGGAAUUCGCUGUAUCAUCAUCGGUUCAAUUUUGCGGUCUCUGACUCGUGAGCUGUGAGUAUGACACGAUGCUACACGAUGGUAUUCAGUCAACCGUUACAAAAGAGGAUAUUCCCUCGUAGUUUUGAGAAAGC